ACGCGUGUGUGAAGAAGGCUGAGGNGUUUAAAGCACUUUCAAUAGGAAGGAAUACCUAUCGGUUAAUACCCGCGUAGACUGACAUUACCUAUACAAGAAGCACCGGCUAACUCCGUGCCAGCAGCCGCGGUAAUACGGAGGGUGCAAGCGUUAAUCGGAAUUACUGGGCGUAAAGCGUGCGUAGGCGGUUAUUUAAGUCAGAUGUGAAAGCCCUGGGCUUAACCUGGGAACUGCAUUUGAUACUGGAUGACUAGAGUUGAGUAGAGGAGAGUGGAAUUUCAGGUGUAGCGGUGAAAUGCGUAGAGAUCUGAAGGAAUACCGAUGGCGAAGGCAGCCAUCUGGCCUAAUACUGACGCUGAGGUACGAAAGCAUGGGGAGCAAACAGGAUUAGAUACCCUGGUAGUCCAUGCCGUAAACGAUGUCUACUAGCCGUUGGGGCCUUUGAGGCUUUAGUGGCGCAGCUAACGCGAUAAGUAGACCGCCUGGGGAGUACGGUCGCAAGACUAAAACUCAAAUGAAUUGACGGGGGCCCGCACAAGCGGUGGAGCAUGUGGUUUAAUUCGAUGCAACGCGAAGAACCUUACCUGUGCCUUGACAUACUAGAAACUUUCCA
rnacentral:rRNA from 1 species